rnacentral:tRNA from 1 species
AACGCCGGCCUGUCACGCCGGAGGCCGUGGGUUCGAGUCCCAUCGGCCCCG